CUCAAACUCGAAAACUAGGUAGUAUGGCGAGUUUUGAAGAGGACUUUGACGGUUGAGGAAUUUAACAUGGCCAGUUCUUCAGGAUGCGGCAGAACCGCUAUCAGAAGACUCAUUGGGUGGAUGUAAAGUGGCAGCAAGCCACAAUCAAGCACAGCAUUCAAAAGGAUGGUUGUAACUGGUGUUUUCGUCAUGAAGGGUGACGAUCCUGAAUAUGCUAUCCAAGACGGAAACAAACAGCAGGCAGAUGGUGAACCAAAUGAACAGGGCAGUGAUGGCAAUAUGGCGUUGUGAAACUCAAACAGC